rnacentral:rRNA from 1 species
GCCUACGGGGGGCAGCAGUAGGGAAUCUUCCACAAUGGGCGAAAGCCUGAUGGAGCAACGCCGCGUGGGUGAAGAAGGUCUUCGGAUCGUAAAACCCUGUUGUUAGAGAAGAAAGUGCGUGAGAGUAACUGUUCACGUUUCGACGGUAUCUAACCAGAAAGCCACGGCUAACUACGUGCCAGCAGCCGCGGUAAUACGUAGGUGGCAAGCGUUGUCCGGAUUUAUUGGGCGUAAAGCGAACGCAGGCGGUCUUUUAAGUCUGAUGUGAAAGCCUUCGGCUUAACCGGAGAAGUUCAUUGGAAACU